rnacentral:rRNA from 1 species
UACGGAGGGCGCAAGCGUUGUUCGGAAUCACUGGGCGUAAAGCGCGUGUAGGCGGCUUGGCAAGUCGGGUGUGAAAUCCCGGGGCUCAACCCCGGAACUGCAUUCGAUACUGCCUGGCUCGAGUCUCGGAGAGGGUGGCGGAAUUCCCGGUGUAGAGGUGAAAUUCGUAGAGAUCGGGAGGAACACCAGCGGCGAAGGCGGCCACCUGGACGGUGACUGACGAUGAGACGCGAAAGCGUGGGGAGCAAACAGG